ensembl:snRNA U1 U1 spliceosomal RNA
GUACUUACCUGGCAGGGGAGACACUAUGAUCAAGAAGGCGGUUUAUCCAGAGUGAGGCUUAUCCAUUGCACUCCGGCCUUGCUGACCCCUGCAAAUUCCCCAAAUGUGGGAAUCUUGACUGCAUAGUUUAUGGUAUUGGGGGACUGCGUUUGUGCUCUCCCCUU